rnacentral:tRNA from 1 species
UGGGCCCUAAAAAGCUCUAUAAACA